rnacentral:rRNA from 1 species
AUGCUUGCAUUCACCGUAAGAAGUUGAGUGGCGGACGGGUGAGUAACACGUGGGUAACCUGCCUAAAAGAAGGGGAUAACACUUGGAAACAGGUGCUAAUACCGUCUAUCUCUAAGGAUCGCAUGAUCCUUAGACGAAAGAUGGUUCUGCUAUCGCUUUUAGAUGGACCCGCGGCGUAUUAACUAGUUGGUGGGGUAACGGCCUACCAAGGUGAUGAUACGUAGCCGAACUGAGAGGUUGAUCGGCCACAUUGGGACUGAGACACGGCCCAAACUCCUACGGGAGGCAGCAGUAGGGAAUCUUCCACAAUGGACGCAAGUCUGAUGGAGCAACGCCGCGUGAGUGAAGAAGGUCUUCGGAUCGUAAAACUCUGUUGUUAGAGAAGAACACGAGUGAGAGUAACUGUUCAUUCGAUGACGAUAUCUAACCAGCAAGUCACGGCUAACUACGUGCCAGCAGCCGCGGUAAUACGUAGGUGGCAAGCGUUGUCCGGAUUUAUUGGGCGUAAAGGGAACGCAGGCGGUCUUUUAAGUCUGAUGUGAGAGCCUUCGGCUUAACCGGAGUAGUGCAUUGGAAACUGGAAGACUUGAGUGCAGAAGAGGAGAGUGGAACUCCAUGUGUAGCGGUGAAAUGCGUAGAUAUAUGGUAGAACACCAGUGGCGA